AUACGGAGGGGGCUAGCGUUGUUCGGAAUUACUGGGCGUAAAGCGCACGUAGGCGGACUGAUCAGUUGGGGGUGAAAUCCCAGGGCUCAACCCUGGAACUGCCUCCAAUACUGUCAGUCUUGAGAUCGGAAGAGGUGAGUGGAAUUCCUAGUGUAGAGGUGAAAUUCGUAGAUAUUAGGAGGAACACCAGUGGCGAAGGCGGCUCACUGGUCCGAUACUGACGCUGAGGUGCGAAAGCGUGGGGAGCAAACAGGAUUAGAAACCCUAGUAGUCC
rnacentral:rRNA from 1 species